rnacentral:rRNA from 1 species
GACGAACGCUGGCGGCGUGCCUAAUACAUGCAAGUAGAACGCUGAAGAGAGGAGCUUGCUCUUCUUGGAUGAGUUGCGAACGGGUGAGUAACGCGUAGGUAACCUGCCUGGUAGCGGGGGAUAACUAUUGGAAACGAUAGCUAAUACCGCAUAAAAUUGAUUAUUGCAUGAUAAUUAAUUGAAAGAUGCAAUUGCAUCACUACCAGAUGGACCUGCGUUGUAUUAGCUAGUUGGUGAGGUAACGGCUCACCAAGGCGACGAUACAUAGCCGACCUGAGAGGGUGAUCGGCCACACUGGGACUGAGACACGGCCCAGACUCCUACGGGAGGCAGCAGUAGGGAAUCUUCGGCAAUGGGGGGAACCCUGACCGAGCAACGCCGCGUGAGUGAAGAAGGUUUUCGGAUCGUAAAGCUCUGUUGUAAGAGAAGAACGGGUGUGAGAGUGGAAAGUUCACACUGUGACGGUAUCUGACCAGAAAGGGACGGCUAACUACGUG